ensembl:lncRNA LINC02703 long intergenic non-protein coding RNA 2703
UGAGACUGCUGGCCUGGGCAGCACUGUACUUUUUGCUUUUCCUGGAAGGGGAAGAAGAGAACAAUCCACUUUCUGUAUGGUCCUGUCCUUCAUUCGAGUUUAUAACGUUCUCCCCAGCUGAAGUCUACACAAUCUUUACCCAGACAUCAGAAACAGCUGUCUCAGGCAGAAGGCGCUUGACUCCAGGUGGGCGCUCAGCAGCAAGGGCAGGUGAAGGGCAUGGACAUCAGAUUGUUCUCCCCUCAGUCUUCAGUUUUUCAGCUAAGUUCUGACAUGACGACACAGACUGAACACCCUCAGACA